rnacentral:rRNA from 1 species
UACGGAGGGUCCAAGCGUUAUCCGGAAUCAUUGGGUUUAAAGGGUGCGCAGGCGGUAGUGUAAGUCAGUGGUGAAAUCUCUCGGCUCAACCGAGAAACUGCCAUUGAUACUGCAGUACUUGAAUACAGUUGAAGUAGGCGGAAUGUGUAGUGUAGCGGUGAAAUGCUUAGAUAUUACACAGAACACCGAUAGCGAAGGCAGCUUACUAAACUGAUAUUGACGCUCAUGCACGAAAGCGUGGGGAGCGAACAGG